rnacentral:rRNA from 1 species
CCUACGGGAGGCAGCAGUGAGGAAUAUUGGUCAAUGGCCGGGAGGCUGAACCCGCCAAGUCGCGUGAGGGAAGACGGUCCUACGGGUUGUCCACCUCUUUUGUAAGGGAGCAAGGUGCAGGUCGGGACCUGCUGUGAGAGUACCUGAAGAAAAAGCAUAGGCUAACUCCGUGCCCGCAGCCGCGGUAAUACGGAGGAUGCGAGCGUUAUCCGGCUUUAUUGGGUUUAAAGGGUGUGCAGGCGGAGGCACAUGUCAGCGGUAAAAUCGCGGGGCUCAAUCCCGCUCCGCCGUUGAAACGGUGUACCUUGAGGGCGCAAAGGGUAGGCGGAAUGCGUGGUGUAGCGGUGAAAUGCAUAGAUAUCACGCAGAACUCCGAUCGCGAAGGCAGCCGACCGGCGCGCAACUGACGCGCAUGCACGAAAGCGUGGGUAUCGAACAGGAUUAGAUACCCCUGUAGUC